rnacentral:rRNA from 1 species
UACGUAGGGUGCGAGCGUUGUCCGGAAUUACUGGGCGUAAAGAGCUCGUAGGCGGUCUGUUGCGUCGGCUGUGAAAACCCGAGGCUCAACCUCGGGCCUGCAGCCGAUACGGGCAGACUAGAGUUCGGCAGGGGAGACUGGAAUUCCUGGUGUAGCGGUGAAAUGCGCAGAUAUCAGGAGGGAACACCGGUGGCGAAGGCGGGUCUCUGGGCC